UCUCCAUCACUGGGUGGGGCUGAGGAAGCAGGCCUCAGAAAGGAAGCCAGUUUUCCCCCAAAAUUAUUCCCUGAGGCUGCCUCUGGGCCUGUGGAUCCAGAUGUGUGGGGGCCUUCAGGAGUGGCAGGGGAGUGGGGCCUCCAGCGUGAAAACAGAAGUCACCGUCAGCCUUGCACCCCCGGCUCUGCCUCCCAGGACUGGUGUUUUUGCCUCUGUUUUAAUUUCCUGCUGGGUCCUCCCUUGGACAUUGUCAGGUAUGCAGGCUGGGACAUCCCUUCUUUCCUCCUACAUUCCCCCUAGAGCCCAAGGCUCUGUCCGUGGUCCAGCCACUCCAUGGCAGGGAAGCUGUACCUCCAUAAUCAGCUGCCUGAGGGCCCCUGACCCACCACCAGGCACCACCCUGGUGGGGCUGAGGUUAGAAGGGAAAGAAUGCCAGAACUCCAGUCCUGGAGGCAGGAGAGUGUGUGAGCCCAGCCCCGCCCUCUCAGACUCUCAGACCUUUAUUUCAUCCUCAUUUUCCUGGCUAGAGGUUCCAUGCAUCAUUUUUUUUUUUUUUUUUUUCAGAUGGAGUCUCACUCUAUUGCCCAGGCUGGAGUGCAGUGGUGCUAUGUCGGCUCACUGA